ensembl:lncRNA
UUUCUCUCUCUCUCUCUUUUUUUUUUUCCCCCCUUUACAUUCCACAGCCCGGUCCUGCCAUGUUUGUGGGGAGAGUUGGGCCGCGCCGCCCGGCCUCUCCCCAUGCGCGUGUGUGUGAGGCCUAAAACAAAGCGGCCGUGUCAAAGUGCCCCUGGUGAGAUGGAAGGGCUCCCGGCGGGCGGGAGGGCUCCCGCAUCCCGACGUUAUUUCUUCCAGGAGCAGUGGAAGCGUUUGGAUCCCUCCUUGCAAACUUUUGUGUCGCGGUAUCUCCGCUGUCAGCCUCCCGGGUUGGAGCUGCGGGGAUAUCCAGCAUUUGGAUUUUCCCCUCUUUGCCGAAGUACCUUUGUGAAGUCCUGAGCUGAGAGCGGCGGAACGGAGCAAAGCGCUCAAAAUCAGCGUUGAUAGCUUAGCGUGGGGGCUUUGUCUGGCUGCAGCAUCCGUCUGCUGUGUGAGCUGAGCAGAAAGCGACCACUUUGCUGAUGGUCUUUUUGAAUGCACGUGGUUUAUAGCUCCUAAGGUGGUGCUUGUAAAGCACCCUGCUUGCUGGGGUGGGGGUUGCUCCAGGUUAGGGGACUCACUGAGGUGCAUUUCCCAUAUAGGGGCUGUGAGGUUUUCCAAGCGCCCUCCGAAUGUACUGUGAAGUGACACGGCUCACUCUUCCCUUCUGCAGACAUUUGGAUUCUUCUCCUAUAACUGAAUCACGUGCAUGCAUACACGCCAAGAAGAGUAAAGCUCGGUGAGUUGUGCGGAGCUCUCUGGAGGCAGCAAGGGGAAGAAAUGACAACCAGAAGCAAACUGGAGAUGGAUGCAAGGGAUGCAUCAUUGUGGAACAGAAAAUUGGUUCUCCAAACAAACUGCUCCAAGUGAGUGGAUGGAUGGGGAGAUGUCUGACAUUAACAACAUGUAACUGCUUUCUGAAAACCCUGGGAUACCUGAAAGCCUUAAGAAGGAGUGCUGCUGCAGUUGCAAAGUGAUAGAAUGAAGUCAAUACCCAAAAUGAUGCUGCAGCCACAUCUGGAGUUUGCUUCAGGUGGAGUGCUUUAACUCUCUGAAAGGGAACGUCGCACAUCUCGGGGUCGUCUUAAAGAGAAACAGAAGAUGCAGAGGAGUACAUCCGAGAAAAGCACUUUAUUCCCUCAGCACAGAUUGACUCCCCAGGUCCCACCUGGAGCAGAACUUUCCGUGCAGUUCCCCCAGCACAGCUCUGGUACAUCCAUGCAGGAUUGGACUUACUGAGGGGUUUGCCUUCAUUUCUCCUUCUGCCCACUUUGGGGUGCCCGCAUUACCUGCAGCCACACGUCCUGCAUUGCUGCCUUGCCUCUGUUGUACCGCAUUCUGCUGAAAAAUACAUAGAAUGAAAAUGAUUUCCCACUUGUAAGGGCAGAAUAAAUAGAAAUACUUGCAGAUAAUGAUGCAGUUUUUUCCUCAGUGUCACCGAAAAACUUAACUCGGUUUUGUUUUCUCAAUCAUCCCUCUGUGUUUGCACUUCUCUGUUAAACAGCAACUGAGAACAAACCGAGAAUAAAAGUGGAGAGCGUUUUUAUUACAAAGGAUUUCACCUUUCUGUCAUUUUUGUACUAAAACAGAUCUGAAACUGCCAUCCACCUCUUCAGUUCAAUUUUUGUUUCACUGCAUUGGAGAAACUUUUAUAUAGAAAAACGAGAUGGAUAACCUUUGUUUCUCUGCAUUUUCUGUGUGUCCUCUCCUAAAUGAGACCAAUCUACACAUGGAAUGGGGAAUUACUUGUGGUCAGAAAUAAACAGCAAUGGCAUGA